GGGGGAAAGAACAACCGGGAUUGCCCUAGUAACGGCGAGUGAAGCGGCAACAGCUCAAAUUUGAAAUCUGCCUGGCGGCCGAGUUGUAAUUUGCAGAGGAUGCUUUUUGGAACGCGCCAUCUAAGUCCCCUGGAAUGAGGUGCCAUAGAGGGUGAGAGCCCCGUAUAGUUGGAUGCUAGGCCAGCAAUAAAGCUCCUUCAAUGAGUCGAGUAGUUUGGGAAUGCUGCUCUAAUUGGGAGGUAAAUUCCUUCUAAGGCUAAAUACCUGCCAGAGACCGAUAGCGUACAAGUAGAGUGAUCGAAAGAUGAAAAGCACUUUGAAAAGAGAGUUAAAAAGCACGUGAAAUUGUUGAAGGGGAAGCGCCUAUAACUAGAUUUGCACUUAUCUGAUCUCCUACUGUUCGCAGUAGUGUACUCAGGUUAGUACAGGCUAGCAUUAGUUGAAAUAGGGAGAUAAAAGUACAAGAAAUGUGACUCCUUUUGGAGUGUUAAAGCCAGGUGCAUAAUAUCCCUAUUCCAACUAAGGAAUGCGCUCUGUAAGGAUGCUAGCAUAAUAGUUAUUAGCGACCCGUCUUGAAACACGGACCAAGGAGUCAAGGUGUUGCGCAAGUGUAUAGGUAUUAAACCUGCACGCGGAAUGAAAGUGAACGUAGGUGAGAGCUUUGGCGCAUCACCGACCGAUCCUGAUGUAUUCGGAUGGAUUUGAGUAGCAGCGUAGCGCCUUGGACCCGAAAGAUGGUGAACUAUGCUUGGAUAGGGUGAAGCCAGAGGAAACUCUGGUGGAGGCUCGCAGCGGUUCUGACGUGCAAAUCGAUCGUCAAAUCUGAGCAUGGGGGCGAAAGACUAAUCGAACCAUCUAGUAGCUGGUACCGCGAGUUUUCUCCCCCUCGGAAAAAAAGGAGAAGUAA
rnacentral:rRNA from 1 species